UUGAGCGAUUUACUUCGGUAAAGAGCGGCGGACGGGUGAGUAACGCGUGGGUAACCUACCCUGUACACACGGAUAACAUACCGAAAGGUAUGCUAAUACGGGAUAAUAUAUUUGAGAGGCAUCUCUUAAAUAUCAAAGGUGAGCCAGUACAGGAUGGACCCGCGUCUGAUUAGCUAGUUGGUAAGGUAACGGCUUACCAAGGCGACGAUCAGUAGCCGACCUGAGAGGGUGAUCGGCCACAUUGGAACUGAGACACGGUCCAAACUCCUACGGGAGGCAGCAGUGGGGAAUAUUGCACAAUGGGCGAAAGCCUGAUGCAGCAACGCCGCGUGAGUGAUGAAGGCCUUCGGGUCGUAAAACUCUGUCCUCAAGGAAGAUAAUGACGGUACUUGAGGAGGAAGCCCCGGCUAACUACGUGCCAGCAGCCGCGGUAAUACGUAGGGGGCUAGCGUUAUCCGGAUUUACUGGGCGUAAAGGGUGCGUAGGCGGUCUUUCAAGUCAGGAGUGAAAGGCUACGGCUCAACCGUAGUAAGCUCUUGAAACUGGGAGACUUGAGUGCAGGAGAGGAGAGUGGAAUUCCUAGUGUAGCGGUGAAAUGCGUAGAUAUUAGGAGGAACACCAGUUGCGAAGGCGGCUCUCUGGACUGUAACUGACGCUGAGGCACGAAAGCGUGGGGAGCAAACAGGAUUAGAUACCCUGGUAGUCCACGCUGUAAACGAUGAGUACUAGGUGUCGGGGGUUACCCCC
rnacentral:rRNA from 1 species